UGGGGAAUUUUGCACAAUGGGCGCAAGCCUGAUGCAGCGACGCCGCGUGAGGGAUGAAGGCCUUCGGGUUGUAAACCUUUUUCGCUCAUGGUCAAGCCGCAGCUUUGGGUUGUGGUGAGGGUAGUGGGUAAAGAAGCGCCGGCUAAUUACGUGCCAGCAGCCGCGGUAAUACGUAAGGGGCGAGCGUUGUCCGGAAUUAUUGGGCGUAAAGAGUGCGUAGGCGGCAAAUUAAGUCAGAUGUGAAAACUAAGGGCUCAACCCAUAGAUUGCAUCUGAAACUGAUAUGCUUGAGUCAAGGAGAGGAAAGUGGAAUUCCUAGUGUAGCGGUGGAAUGCGUAGAUAUUAGGAGGAAUACCGGUGGCGAAGGCGACUUUCUGGACUUGAACUGACGCUGAGGCACGAAAGCGUGGGGAGCAAACAGG
rnacentral:rRNA from 1 species